AGCCAUGGCCAUGCAGUUAUAACUAAUAUAAGCCUCUGUGUGUUUACUUGGGGAGUAUGAAUGGGAGAGAUUUGUACCAACUGCUGGCAGACUGGAACACAGGAAAUCUACCAACUACAGAUGAUGCUACAGUUACAGAUGACAUUUGAGGGCCACAUUUUUCUAUAUCCCAGAUAAUAUUGUAACCUAGGUGUUGUCAUCUAGGUCAAACUUCUGCCAGUGUGUAAGUAUAUACCCUAGGGGCAGAAUAGUGCAACAACAAGGGAGUUUCCCAUGAGAACUUGCAAUGGAGGGUAGAGGCGGAAAAAAAUGGAGAACUGCUAGCCUAUUUCCAUGAAAAAGGAAUCCACUAGAGAGGAAAGAAUGGGAUGAGUAUCUAAGCUCCCAGGGUACUCCCUGUGGAACCUGGACAUUCUCAGUGCCUUAGUUUUGAUGAAUAUUGACGCCUCUUUUGCAUCCUUCGCCUUUUUUGAUAGAGUUUUAGCUGUGGCACCCCUGGAUGAAAGCAUAGACUUCUAGCCACCCUCCAGUAGUUGUACCUGGUCUCUUGCCACUGAAUCUCUUGAGAAAGGCGUUGGAUCAUGUGUCGAGUUACUGCCUGAGUGAGGGUUGGAGGAGAAGUUCUAUCUAUGGCCUUGGAACAAGAUAGUGAAAGAAGGAGCCUCAAAUCCAGGUCAACAUGAUCAGUCAGCAUCUGAGUCUCAUGUGGCACAUUUUCUGCUUUGUCACCCACUGGUUCUGCUUCACACUGAAGACCCCUGCAGUACUGGAAGGUUCAAAAGAGAAGCCUGCUAAGGACAAGUUUCUCAAAAGCAAGCCCUCUGCCUGGAAAAGGACACAGUGCAACCUAGAAGCACAAGCUGAUGGAAGGUGGGGAGAUUUGUGUGAUGAAUUAAUUCAAGAUUUAAAAGAAUGUUGGCACAUGUGAACUCACAGAGCUGUAGCUAUCUGCACAAGACCAAGCCAGCCAAAAUUCCAGCAAGGAUGAGGAGGAGCUCAUGAGGGUCCAUCUCUAACUGAGAAGCCAUUGGCAGUUGAUAUCUGCUGGGGAUAUGGGAGGAGGAAUUCUUCUCUGGAAGUGUGGCCAUUGGUAUGUUGCCCAUGCUCCGGUGGACAGACCACUCCUGCACACAUCUAACAGCACUAAUUGAACUUGGUAAGACAUUUAAAAAAAAAAAAAGAAAAAGAGGACAUGAUCUGGGAAAGGGAUAUGUUACCAGGGAUACUGGGAAAAUUGGAGGGGGGGUUGUGGGGAAGACAGAAUCAUAUUUCAGUGUAUUUGUGUGUAAAAUUCUUGAUGACUAUUUCUUUAAUUUUUCAAAACAAUAUUUUUUAAAAACUACUGCUAUGGCUGAGAUUCAUGUUGACAGGGCAGCAUGGGGACAGGGAGACUAGAAGCAGACGAGCAAAGUCUGAAAAAAGAAAUCAUGGGACCUGUUUUAAGAGUCAAGCCUAACCUGAAAGCUCUGAAAGACAUUGGCACUAAAAUCUGUAAGAAGAAACACAAGAGAGCAGACAUCAUUGCAGCUUAUCAAGAGACAUCAGCGUCAGCAGCACAGGUGAUGCUCAGCCAAGACUGCUCGAGCUGCCUAAGGGGAACUUAGGUGUGCUUUGAGAGGCACAGGAUGACCAAGACUUCCUUAACCCAAAGGGUUUUCCCUGCCACAACUCUAAAAUUCCAGUAUGUUUACCUAAUUUAAGACUGUCUCCAAAAGGAUUGCGUUAAAAAGCAUGUGGCUAUACUUCCUUUGAAGAGUAAUAAAAUUACUUUUUAGAGGAACUACUGUCAAGUCUUUUGUCAGAUUCAUCACUGAAUGGAUCCAGCACGGUGAGGACAUCUUUCUGUGCGCAUGCGCUACUUCUGCUCCUCCUUUCCCUCCACACUAACACUUCGUUUGAAGCUGCUUUGUAAAUCUCAAGAAUACAUCGGAAGAUAAUUAAAAAUCCCUGCCAAAAACUAUAACCGUCACUGAUCUUGGUCAUAAACUUUAAUUGGAAAACUGAUAUUAAGAAUGUAUCUUUAUUACAUUUUGAAAGCAUGAAUAAUAUAUGUUAUGUAAUCAUCCAAAGGCUGAGCUGUGCACGUGGCUUUAUUAUUCAGACAUAAACAAAAGUGCAGUGUACUGUGUUAUCAAUUAGUGUCCAGCUUCUUUGGAAGAGUGAGGGGGGGAAACAGUUGGACCUCAGCUGGCAAUUUACCUUCUCAAACAUCUUUAUUCACAAGCUGUAAAAGCAGGCUGGUAACAGUCGCCAAAGUGGUUGCCAAGACAACUUAUCUCUGGAUUUAGUAUCGCUGCUUCAGGAGGGAGGCUUAUGAGGAAUUUAAUUAGCUAACGCCUUGUCCUCCUUAGCCAAAAAGGAUGGAUUUUCUUUCAAGUUAAAGUUUCUAUGGAAUCAGAUUCAGUGGAAUCAGGGUAGACACACACUGAGAUGGACUUAUAUGCACCCUCAACGCUUGGUGAUUACAGCAUCAGGUGUGGCUUACAUUAACUCUGCCUCAGUAAUUCAUGAGUGAGAACAAAGAUGGAGCCAGGAUGCAGCAUAUAAAUAUCAUAUGAAUAAAUAAGUAAAUGUGUUGACACGUGUGCAUCCAGUCGGGUAGUGUAUGAAUGCUGCUAUUUUCCUUGUUUUUUCUUCUCAAAAGUAAAUAGGCAGUUUGCCAGAAAGUUAAUUGAAAAAAAAAAAUA